rnacentral:lncRNA from 1 species
GAACUGGCCGCCAGGUUAGGGGAGGGGGGUGGAGUUUCUCACAUUUCAGUCGCCUUGAGGCCCCCCCAUUCUGAAUCCGGGGCUGGGGUUAGUAGCCAAGGGGACAGACAAGGCUCCACCCUCAGCCCACUUUCUCUGAGCUUUCUAGGUCUUGCUUCUCACCACUCCUGGUAGUAUUUCCACCCCAGGUUUUAACUACUAGCACUUCCAUAAAAACAGCUGAAACCACUCUUUUGGGAGAACGCGCCCGUGAGGCCUCUCACCCCAACUAAACUGGUUCCCUGCUUCGUCCACACCUCCUGGGGAUGUGAUGCACCCCCUCAUCCUUGUCAACUCAGCCCCCGCGUCUCCGAGGGGUGUUCCUGUGCUGGCUUCAAAAACCAGCUGGCCACAUGGCGGGAGGGAGAUUUUCUGGCCCCGGGAGGUCUUCUGAACCUGGGAUUUGAGGCAUGCAUGAAACGACACCCGCCACUCGAACAUCACUAGAAGACGUCUGCUCUCCGUUUUGCCAGCGAAUUCCACCACUCCAGACUGACACCGGGGAGAAGAGGCGCGAAAUGGGGAGGGGAAACGCCCUAGGCAAUUUCUCAAACUCUGCAAAUCCGCCCAGGGAGGCCCGGGUGUCUGGGUAUGGGAGAAGGGGGUCUAGGGGUCUCUGCAGAUCUGAGGGAGGGGGUAAUGACUAGUUAUUACUAGUUUAGGAAGGGAGCGGCUGCUGCACUAGCGCCCCCGCGCCGGGCCUCGGGCCCCAAAUCCCGCGAGUGGUCGCCCAGCUCGGGCCCCGCCACCCAGCGCGCGCUGCGCCGCACCCUGCCCUGGGCAAGGGGCAGCGACCGGGAACCCGGGCCUGGUCGCGGCGCCGGGAGCUCGGACACGCCCGGCGUUUUCGAUCUCGAUGCUCAAGCAGGGCCCCAUCACCGCUGCAGCGUCUUGGGACCUCCCGUCCGCAUCCCCGGGACUGGGUGUCGUUAAAGGAAACGCCUAGGAGGAGAACUAGGAGGGAGCAGUAGGUAAACGUCCGGGUUCGACCGGCUGGAUGGUGCGAGAGAGCAACAAGUCGCUUGGAAAGUGGGUAAGAGGCUCCACUGCGAGCUGCUUCCUGCCUGCGGCGGAGCGGGACGUGCGCGCAGAGAACUCAGAGACAGGAACUGAGAAGGCUAAAGAGAGACUAACUCGGUCCCUUGGGCAAGGAGAUAAAAGGAAGGUCCGGUACCCAAAAGGGACGUGCUCCAGUUUUUCAGCCUCUCAGUUUCUUCCACUUAUAAACCAGCCGGCGCCUCAAGGAGGGGAGGAGCUCAGCGGGUCCGCCUCACCGCCAUGCAUGUCUCUCUCCCUGGAAUCUUGGCCGCUCAGCACCUGGACUGUCCGGGGAGCUCUUUGUUGCCUUCAGGCAGAUCGGUGAGCGAACUGUGGCAGAGCUGAGGUUACCUAAGUAAGCGGUAGAGCUGGGAGUUCUCCAUGCCCGCCACUCUAUACAGAGUCGAGUGCUCAAUUUGCCACUGGAGAAGGAGACCCUGGAGAAUGCCUGGCAUUUAGACUGUGCCUCUCAUGGGUUACCCUCAAGAGAGGCACUAGUCAGGCUCACUUGCAUGAUGGUGGCCAAAGGGCCUUAACUUGAAACCUGGGAAAGACCGGACAGAACUAGGACCAGGAGGGAGAGGUGAAAACCGGCACCCAGGUGUGGUGGGCACCUGAAUGCCCGAAGCCCUCCCGCUGAGAAGGUGGGGUAGUUCCUGUGUCUCUUAAGGCAAGUGUUGAACCUGAACCUGCUGGACCAGGUACAGGAUGGCAGGUCUUAGAGACGAAGCACGGAAAAUGAUGGGGUCUCCCUUUAAGAGGAGGAAGGAAGAGUCUUAACAGAGGCAGCCAUGGAACUCGGGUUUCAGUGACAGUCAGGGCGUUCUUUGGGUCAAAAUUUUAGUGUGAGUAAGACAGGUCACCUUCGAUCAUGUCUCUGUUCAGCCAACAACUGACUGAGUGGCUUCAAUAAUAUUCCUUUGCAUGGACACACCACAGUUGAUUUAAUCAUUCUCCUAUUAAUGGACAUCUUGGAUUAUUUCUUGUUUGGAGCUAUUAUAAAUAAAGCUGCUAAGAGCAUUCUUGCACGUGUUUUUGUUUUUAUUUACAGUAAAUACAGGAGUGGAAUUGCUGGUCAUAAGGUAGGUUGGUGUAUAGUUUUUUUAAAGUGUUUUUUAUUGUGGUAAAAUAUACAUAAAAUAAAAUUUACUACUUUAACCAUUUUAAGUGUACAAUUCAGUGGCAUUAGGUACAUUUACAUUAUUGUGCAACCAUCACUGCUACCCAUCUCUAGAACUUUUUCAUCACCCCAAACUGAAAAUCUGUACCCAUUAAACACUAACUCCCAACCCCCUCCCCCAGACCCAGAUAACCACUAUUCUACUUUCUGUCUCUACAGAUUUGACUAUUCUAGCUGCCUCAUAUAAGUGGACUCAUACAAUAUUUGUCCUCUUGUGUCUGGCUUAUUUAAGUUAGCAUAAAGUUUUCAAGGUUUAUCCGUGUUAUAGCAUGUGUCAAAAUCUCGUUCCUUUUUAAGGUUGAAUGAUAUUCCAUUGUAUGUACAUACCACAUUUUGUUCAUUCAUCAGUCAGUGGACACUUAGGUUGCUUAUGUCUUUUGGCUCUUAUGAAUAGUGCUGCUGUGAACGUGGGUGUACAAAUACCUGUUCAAGUUCUAGCUCAGCGGUUCCCAAGCUUUCAUGUCUAAGAAUUGUUGCUUUAUAAGUGAAAUAAAGAAUUUUCUAAUUUGACUUGAACUAUAUGCAACUUUUGCCUUACUAACUUUAGGACCAGUCCCUAGCCCCUAACACCGCCAUACACUGCAACCCCACUGGACUCAACGGGGGCAGAAUUCUUUAAGAAGAAAAACUUAGUGGGAAAAGCACAGGCCUUGAUGCCAGUCGUGCACAAGGUAUUGAUAUUCUGGUGCCACUACUUACCAGCUCUAGACCCUUGGGGGCGCCAGUUAAUACUCUGAGCUUUAGUUUCUGUUUGCUAAUCUGUAAAUGGAGAUUAAAUAAGAAAGCGUGUGGCGAUUAGCAGAGUGGGCCACAGAAUCAUUCAGUAAGUGGUAACCAGAGAGGGUGUUAUUGCUGUUGUUGCAAUUAGUUAGGCUCCUCAGACCUCACACCGCACUCGGAUCCCGGGCAGAAAUUGUUUCUUCGCUGAUUACUUGAAGGGGGCACUGGCGAAGGGAAGCAGUGGUCAGUAGCGGCAGGUCCAAAUGGCGACAGUUUCUCAACAGUUUCCACUGAGUUCCCGGAGAAGGGAGUAUGGGAUUGAGAGUCUAAGAGUGCUGGGGCCCAAAAAGGGAGACAAGAGCAAAUGCUGGUGAGGCUGCGGAGAAAGCAGAACCCUCACACGCUGUUCAUGGGAAUGUAAAAUGGUGCAGCCACUUUGGGAAACAGUCGAGCAGUUUUUCGAAAUGUUAAACACCAAAUCUAGCAAAUGAAAGAUAUAAAUAUAAAAUAAAUAAAUACAGUAAAUAUACUAAAACACCGGAAAAGGACCUCUCAAUACACUUGAAACUGAACCUGCAAGGAAUGACUAAAAGAGGGCAAAAUUAGACUGAAGAAGGAAACCUCAGCCCAUGGUGCGUAGGGGAGCCAAGAGGAGAUUCUCUCAGGCUACUGGGAGCAGCCAUAUGGAUGAUUCAGACCCAAGAGGGAUGAAGAUGUGGGAGGAAAUCCAGGGGCCACUGCUAGGGUAAUUUGUUGGGACACUGAAGCAGGAGCAAGCAGCAUAGUGACUCCCACGCACCCCUGUCAUAGUCUGUGAUGGGAGGUGUUUUCUAGGUGGGAGAGAGCAAUGGAUGAGAGAGUUUAGAACAGAGAGACAGCGCAGUACCUGAGGUGGCUGGGAUACCCCAGGAGAAAGUGGGAGUGCCUAAGCCCAGAAGACCAGCUGCUGAGAUGCCUUACCUGGUGGCAGAUCUUGCCUCUCCCCUGCUCUCAAUAGCACCCAGUGAGAUUCUUGCCUCUUCCCCCCAGUGGGCUGUGCAAACAGAGACAGCCAAUGGUCUAACGGAGAAUGUCAGCCAUAAAAAUGACUUGCACAAGGAUCACUAAACAUUUGAGAAAAGUCAGUAUCAUGAAAGAGAGACAAGCUAGAACCUUUCCCAGACUCCCUUGAGGUUAGGUGAGACGACUGACUGAGUUUCAGCCAGUGGAAUGUGAACAGAAGUGUGCACACCACUUUUAGCUAGGUCUGGCCUCCACUCUCUCUUUUCCUCUUUCUGCCAGCUGGAUUUCAAUGCCCAGCAUGAUACUGGAAGUUACAUAAUGAGGGAAACAAGAUCCUGUGUCAAGUUCUGUGAAAUCAUGUCCCUAAAUUUGCACUUUGUAAAAAUGAGAAGUGAACUUCCAUUGUAUUAAACCACUGAGUUUGGAGUGGGGUGGGGUUUUUUUCCUGUUACAUCAGCUAAUAUUACCUUCCCUGAUAAACAGUUUACAUUUUAAAACAGUUUCCUUGAAGAAAUAAGGGAGUGUAUCACAUCCAUGAAAUGAAGAAAGCCAGUUGUAGAAGGGAACCAAUUAAACACUUUGUAAAUAAAAAUAUGAAACCAUUGAAAUUUAAAACUCAGUAGAUGAGCUGAAUAGUAGAAUACAUCAACUAAACAGAAAAAGAGUAAAAUGGAAGACCAGGCAGAAGAAUAUUCCCAGAAUGCAGAACAAAGGAAGAUGGGGGAUAAGAAAGUUAAAUGACAUGCAGAGAAGAUCAAAAAAUUGUAACAUUCAUUGAAAAAAAUUCUGGAAGUUGAUAAUAGAGAGAAUAGAUGAGAAACAACUUUUUUUCUUUUUGAGGAAGAUUAGCCCUGAGCUAACUACUGCCAGUCCCUCUCUUUUUGCUGAGGAAGCCUGGCCCUGAGCUAACAUCCGUGCCCAUCUUCCUCUACUUUAUAUGUGGGACACCUACCACAGCAUGGUGUGCCAAGCAGUGCCAUGUCCGCACCCGAGAUUCGAACUGGCGAACCCCGGGCCACCAAGAAGCGGAACGUGCGCACUUAACCACUGUGCCACCGGGCUGGCCCCACAAUUUUUUUUUUUAAAGUCAAGAAUUUUCCAGAUCUGACGAAAGAUAGACACACACACAUAUACACGAAUACACAAAUGAUUCCAGAAAAAAGUAUGGAAUACAAGAAGCAAUAGCAAGUUAAUACAUUAGGAAAACGUAUUAAGACAUCUAAGUAUUGCCUGUAUAAAAUUUUAAAAUAAUAAUCUAAAAAAUAUCAACACAGAAGUUGUCAAUAGGGAAUUCCAGAAGGAAAUUAAAGCUUGCCCAAAUUCCUUUGUUCUUGCCUUGUUCUAGGGGUGGAUAUCGAUGCUGAUUAACUAUACACAUUAUUAGAAAUCUACAAGUUUAAAUAUGUAUGUAUUUAAAGAAUAACCACUAGACACAUAGGAAUAGAAUGUAGAAGGGGAAAUGGAUCAAAGAAAACUUAAUCAAAAGCCAGGUGUAGUGGGCAUGGUUGACUACCUCCCAAGCAUCGUUUCCCAGCUCCAGGCAGGAGCCAGAGUUUCCUGUGAGUAUCCCAGCCCCCACUCAUGGCCACUGACCUUGGGAAAGCCGACUCCAUCUCUGGCUUCAGGUACAAAUCUUAAUUUGACUAAAUCAAUCAGAGUAUCCCACUCCCUUUGCCCCAGUAAUUGUUUUGGGUGUGGGCAUGUGAGCCUCAUAUUGCCAGGAAACACACCUGGUUCUCACCUGGGGGUACUUUUGCCCCCUAGGGACAUUUAGCAAUGUCUGGAGACACUUUUGGUUGUCCCAGCUGAGGGAAAGCUACCGGCAUCUAGUGGAGAGAAGCCAUGGAUAUGCUAAACAUCCUACAAUGCAAAGGACAGCCCCCCCACAACAAUUAUCCAGCCCAAAACGUCAAUGGUGGCAAGUUUGAGAACCUCUGGUCUAAAGGAAAAGCUGUGGGCAGUAUACAUGCCUUGAUCCCUCAGGGAACCAGCCUUGAGGUGAAGCUGAUGCUGCAGAUGGCAGAUCUGAAGGAUGGAAAGAACCAGGGUCCAUGAUGACACUACUGGGACACAGGCUCAUUCUCCCUCUGGGUAUACAGUUACAUGACCUUUUAACUUUAACUUUCUCUUGGCUAAGCCACUGUUUAACUGGGGUCUCUGUUACUUGUAGCCAUGAGCAUCGUGAUAAACUAGGAAAGAGAGAAAGAGAAACAAAAGAAAAAACAAGAAGGCGUAUGUGGUAGACAGUGUCCCACUCUCCCAUCCACUCCCCCUACCAAAGACCCCCAUGUGCUAAUCCCCAGAAUCUGACAGUUUGUCACCUUACAUGAUGAAAAGGACUUUUGCAGAUGUGAUUACAUUAAGGAGUUUGAGAUGGAGAGAUUAUCCUGGAUUAUCUGAGUGGGUCCAAUGUUCUCACAAAGGCUUUUAUGAGGAAAAGAGGGAGGCAGGAGAGUCACAGAGAGAGGAGAGCAGAGGUGGGAGUGAUGCUCUUCAGCAAUGGAGGAAGGGGCCCUGAGCCAAGGAAUGCAGGUGACUUCUAGAAGCUGGGAAGGGCAAGGAUAUAGGUUCUCUCCUAGAGCCCCAGAAAAAAUGCAGCUCUGACAAUAGUUGAAUUUAGCCCGUAAGACCCAUUCAGACUUCUGACCUCUAGAACUAUAAGAGAAUAAAGGUGUGUCAUUUUAAGACAUUAAGUUUGUAAUAAUUUGUAAGAGCAGCAAUGGGAAACAAAGACAGCAUGGCAAUUAGAAAACCCAAAACAAGAUGUCAGGAGUAAGUACAAACAUACCAAUAAUCACACAAAUAUGAAAGAGUUGAAUCCACCUGUUAAGUAAUGGAGGCUCUCGGAUUCUAUAUUUUUAAACUCCUGCUAUGUGCUAUUCAUGAGCAGUAUACCUAAAAGAAAAUGACAGAAAACGACACAAAUAACUUGGUGUCUCAGUUAUCUACUGCAGUCUAACCACCACCCCCAAAAUUUAAUGACUUGAAAUAACGACCAUUUUAUUUGCUCUGUGGGUCAGUAAUUUGACCUGUGCUCAGCUAGGCAGGUCCUCUGCUGGUCUCCUCUGGGAUCACUCAUGCAGCUGCCAUCAUCCAGCAGCUCAAGUCAGGCUGGAGGGUCGAAAAUGGUGUCACACAGAUGGGGCUGCCUGUUGGCCAACCCCACUCUCCACUCAGCCUCUCACCCUCAAGGAGGCCAGCCCAGGCUUCUGCGUGUGGUGGCAGUGGCAUUCAGGUGAUGAGCGCAGCUGCUGCGAGACCUAGCGAGGACUCCACUCAGAUGUCCCAAAGCAUCAGUUCUGCGGCCUUCUAUAUUCAAAGCAGGUCACAAUGGCAACCAUGAAUCAAACGUGGGGAAACAGACUCCACCUUAGAUGGGAAGAAUGGCAAAGUCACAUUGCAAGAGGUAUGGUUUCGAGAAGGGAAGGAGUUAUUCUGGCAUCUUUUCAAUCAACUUACCAUGCCUGGAAAAUACACAAACACACAAAAGCAGGUAUAGCAAUAUCAGUAUCAGACAAAGGUGACAAGAAACUAAGAGGAAGUAUUUCAUAUUGAUAAAAGAAACACUACAACAAGAAAAUAAAAUAGUCAUGAGCCUUUUUACAUCUAACAACAUAGACUCAAAUAUGUAAAGCAAAAUCUGCUCAAAGCAUAAGGAGAAACUGACCAAAAAUUACAAUGGGAGACUUUAACAUGCUUCUCUCAGAAACUAAAAUAUUAAGCAAUUAAAAAAAUAAGGAUAAUGAUUAUUAGGGUAACCUAACAGGUUGAUCUAAUAGAAACAUUUAGAAAUGUAUUCUCAGCGGAGAAUACACAUUCACAAAAAAUGACCAUAGGCUCAGCUGUGAAGGAAAUCUUAACACAUCCUCCCACCCCAAAAUAAUACACAGACCAUCUUCACUCACCACAAUGCAAUAAAAUUAGAAGUGAAAAACAAAUGAUGGCCUAAAAAAACCGAAAAAACAAAAAAUAAAUCAACUAUGUAUUUAGAAAUUUUAAAACAGACUUGUAAAUAACUCCAGUUAAAAAGAUAGCAGGCCCAGAACCCAGAUUUCCAAAUAACCAAUACAGAUCAUGAUCUAGCCCUUUUAUUCACAUAAAGCUAUUUAUUCUUAAGUAUUUACUGAAUUAUGUGAAAAGGUGGGAAAGUGGGAGAGGCAGAGAGAGGCCAAGGUGGGCUGGAAAACGGAUUGGCCGGAGCAACUAGUUCUGUCCAUUGAGAGCCUAAAGGGAUGUGACAGUUAUCACCAGCCAGGUUCAGCAAAGCUUAGGAGCAUCUACUGGACUCAGUGGCCUGGGCGGCCACACACCAUGCAGGGGAGCCAGAGCAAUGCCCCAGCAAGUGGGACAGGCUCUGAUGAGCUCUGAUCCCAGGCAGAUGCUGUUUGCUUCUGAUUCCGCAGUGCAAAUCAGCUCCUGUGUACAGUGGGGAAGGGUGGCUACUUCGAGCAGGUAAGAUCCAAAAUCUAGAAGGAGCCCACAGGUCAAUACCCAGAAGGAUUCUGGAUGGCUGUGACUACAUGAUGCCAGACCACCCAGAGAAAAUGGGAACUGUCAGUUUUCUGAACAUUGGAGUCAAAUGGUGCCCAACAUCCAAGCUAGGCAGGCAGCUUACCAAUGGAAUAGACAUGGUGUUUUCUCCACACAGCACAAACCAGAGAGAACAGAUUAUUUAGCCUGUGUUUAGGAUUCAUCUGGAUAAUUCAGAUCCCAAACAUUCUACUUGUGGCCUCAAUUAUUCAUGUUGACUAUAUAGAUUAAAAUACAAGGUAACUAUCAUUGUUUCCUUUUUAGUAGUAACAGAACAUCUGUUAGGAUGAAAUCAUUUUUUUCCUAUUGGUGUGAAUUCAUUCAUGCCUAAUCCACCCACCCAGUCAUCCAUCCAUCCGUUUAACAAACAUCCAAAGCAAACCUAACACAUCAUAGAUCCUUGGUGUUUAUGUGUCACUGUUUACAUCUCCUCUGAUUACUUGUAGAUGAGAAAGAUAAAGAAUAUGGUUUGAGUUAUUUUGGUGCCAAACAAUAUUCUAGAAAGAAAUGCUCAGCAAACAAGUUCUACAUAAAUAACUAAAAAGAAAAAGGAGGGAGAAAGGGAAAAAAAAGGGGGUGGAGGUGGAGAAGGAACAUGAGGGUUCCAGCGGAGGUGGGUGGGAAUUUUUUUUCCUUUCUGACUGGGUUUUGAUUUGCAUAGGGGAGUCUCUGUGUCUGAAGGUGCUGAGAAAACCAGCCCACUCUAGGCAGCAGGGAGGGGGCAAGACGGCCGGGAGGCAGGAGCCGCAAGGGAGAGUUCUGACUUUCUUACACCCUAUACCCUGUCUGGAUUCUGGUGUCAGAGCCUGAGCUAUUUUCCUUCUCCCCCACCUUCCACCUCCCCACUCCACCCUCCUCCAACACACACCCCCAAUUUUCCUAAGAAUUCUGAGUCCGGAAGAAAGAAAGAGAAAAGCAGGUGUCCAAUUGUCCUUGCCCCUCCUCCGCAUCCCCACCCACACACAGAGGUACCAAGUCUCCCCAGCGCCCCUGAGGAUGACUGGGUGAGAGCCUGCCACACCGGGCUGUAAUAUUAGCACAGGUUUGCCCGCCCUCCCCACCCCCAGACCCCGAGAUUCCUGAGGGCUAGGACACCGAGUGUCCAAUUCUUCAUCUGUAAAACUCCGCAUAUGAUUGUCACGUGACUUGAGCAUGUCCCUAAGACUUGGAGUGUGCUCAGAACAGUGCCGGGCUCUUGACGUGCUCUACCUCCUCGGGCGAACGUAGCGGAGGAGACAGCGCCCUCCAGCCCGGGUCCUGCGGGUCCCUAUCGUGCGCCGGGGGCUCGAGAGCAUCGCGCCCGCAGGCGCUCCUCCCAUCCUUUCCCGGACGGCUUCCCUCCCCCAGCCAAAGGCAGCGCCCAGCGAGCGGCACUAAGUAAAUCUGGGGACUCUGGCCUGACCUCCGUCCUCGCGAGAGACAAGAAACUAACAUGAUGUUGGGCCUGUGGUGGCCGCUGUGCAACCCGGAGAGGGCUGUGUAGGCAUUCCCAUUUUCCAGAUGAGAAAGUGAGGCUUCAAUCCAGUGCUAGCGCCCCUGUAUAAGGCGCUCGGAUUUCCAAACCCGCCUCCUCCCCAUUACAGUAUUUCUUUCGGCCUCCCUGGGGCCCAAGAGGAAAGUCUGGGGACAAGGGACCAGGAAGGUUCUAGAUCGUAUGUCUUCUGCCUGUAUCAGGCUCCCAGCCCCGCGCGGGUGUGCGGGGAGCCCAGGAUGUGCGGCCCAGGCCAAGCCGGUGCCUGCAGGGACGCAGGGGAGGCGCGUGGCGGUGUCCCCCUAUC